AUUGAACGCUGGCGGCAGGCUUAACACAUGCAAGUCGAGCGGAGAGAGGUAGCUUGCUACUGAUCUUAGCGGCGGACGGGUGAGUAAUGCUUAGGAAUCUGCCUAUUAGUGGGGGACAACAUUUCGAAAGGAAUGCUAAUACCGCAUACGUCCUACGGGAGAAAGCGGGGGAUCUUCGGACCUUGCGCUAAUAGAUGAGCCUAAGUCGGAUUAGCUAGUUGGUGGGGUAAAGGCCUACCAAGGCGACGAUCUGUAGCGGGUCUGAGAGGAUGAGCCGCCACACUGGGCCUGAGACACGGCCCAGACUCCUACGGGAGGUGGCAGUGGGGAAUAUUGGACAACGGGCGCAAGCCUGAUCCAGCCAUGCCGCGUGUGUGAAGAAGGCCUUAUGGUUGUAAAGCACUUUAAGCGAGGAGGAGGCUACUUUAGAUAAUACCUAGAGAUAGUGGACGUUACUCGCAGAAUAAGCACCGGCUAACUCUGUGCCAGCCGCCGCCGUAAGAC
rnacentral:rRNA from 1 species